AUUGAACGCUGGCGGCAUGCCUUACACAUGCAAGUCGAACGGCAGCACGGACUUCGGUCUGGUGGCGAGUGGCGAACGGGUGAGUAAUGCAUCGGAACGUGCCAUUGAGUGGGGGAUAACGUAGCGAAAGUUGCGCUAAUACCGCAUAUUCUGUGAGCAGGAAAGCAGGGGACCGCAAGGCCUUGCGCUCUUUGAGCGGCCGAUGUCAGAUUAGCUAGUUGGUGAGGUAAAGGCUUACCAAGGCGACGAUCUGUAGCGGGUCUGAGAGGAUGAUCCGCCACACUGGAACUGAGACACGGUCCAGACUCCUACGGGAGGCAGCAGUGGGGAAUUUUGGACAAUGGGCGCAAGCCUGAUCCAGCCAUGCCGCGUGCGGGAAGAAGGCCUCGGU
rnacentral:rRNA from 1 species